rnacentral:rRNA from 1 species
AGAUUGAACGCUGGCGGGCAGGCCUAACACAUGCAAGUCGAGCGGCAGCACGGGUACUUGUACCUGGUGGCGAGCGGCGGACGGGUGAGUAAUGCCUAGGAAUCUGCCUGGUAGUGGGGGGAUAACGCUCGGAAACGGACGCUAAUACCGCAUACGUCCUACGGGAGAAAGCAGGGGGACCUUCGGGCCUUGCGCUAUUAGAUGAGCCUAGGUCGGAUUAGCUAGUUGGUGAGGUAAUGGCUCACCAAGGCGACGAUCCGUAACUGGUCUGAGAGGAUGAUCAGUCACACUGGAACUGAGACACGGUCCAGACUCCUACGGGAGGCAGCAGUGGGGGAAUAUUGGACAAUGGGACGAAAGCCUGAUCCAGCCAUGCCGCGUGUGUGAAGAAGGUCUUCGGAUUGUAAAAGC